rnacentral:lncRNA from 1 species
AGGGGACAUAACUUCACUUUUCAAUGUACAAAACAUUUCAAAAGUAAAUAUUGAACCUUUCCAACUAGGUUUUAUGAAACCCAAAACAACAACCAUCUUACACAAAACGCAAAACUGACAGUCAAACCACAAAAUUAAAAAAUAAAUAACUUACAAUAAACCUUUGAAAGGUUACCUUAGCGUGACUUAGGAUACAGAUAGAGUUCUGGAAAAGUGAUAAUACUAUUUAAGUUAAAGUAAUAAUACUUUAUAAAGACUAUCCCCUU